AUUGAACGCUGGCGGCAGGCCUAACACAUGCAAGUCGAACGAGUGGCGGACGUGUGAGUAAUGUCUGGGCCACUGCCCGAUGGAGGGGGAUAACUACUGGACCCUGUAGCUAAUCCCGCCUACCUUCGCAUGUGCCCACAUGGGAUUAGCUAGUAGGUGGGGUAAAGGCUCACCAAGGCGACGAUCCCUAGCUGGUCUGAGAGGAGGACCAGCCACACUGGAACUGAGACACGGUCCAGACUCCUACGGGAGGAAGCAGUGGGGAAUAUUGGACAAGGGGCGCAAGCCUGAUGAAGCCAUGCCGCGGGUAUGAAGAAGGACUUCGGGUUGUAAAGUACUUUCAGCGGGGAGGCGUUACCCGCAGAAGAAGCACCGGCUAACUCCGUGCCAGCAGCCGCGGUAAUUC
rnacentral:rRNA from 1 species